rnacentral:rRNA from 1 species
UGCGUAGGUGGCCUGACAAGUCAGGGGUCAAAGGCAACGGCUCAACCGUUGUAAGCCCUUGAAACUGUCGGGCUUGAGCUCAGGAGAGGAAAGCGGAAUUCCUAGUGUAGCGGUGAAAUGCGUAGAUAUUAGGAGGAACACCAGUGGCGAAGGCGGCUUUCUGGACUGAUACUGACACUGAGGCACGAAAGCGUGGGGAGCAAACA